UUACGGCCACGUCACGUUGAAACUACCGGUUCCCGUACGACCGCCGAAGUUAAGCAAUAUCGAGUUUGGUUAGUAUCUAGAUGGGUGACCGAUUGGGAAUACCAGGUGAUGUAAG